GACGUAGGUGGCGAGCGUUAUUCGGAAUUACUAGGCGUAAAGCGAGUGUAGGCGGGUGCUUAAGUCCGUAGUGAAAUCUCCCGGCUUAACCGGGAGGGGUCUGCGGAUACUGGGCGUCUUGAGUUGGGUAGGGGGGAUCGGAAUUCCCGGUGUAGCGGUGAAAUGCGCAGAUAUCGGGAAGAACACCAGUGGCGAAGGCGACUACCUGGCCUGUUUCUUGACGCUGAGGCGCGAAAGCUAGGGGAGCAAACGGG
rnacentral:rRNA from 1 species